AAAUUUCAAAAUGAUUUUUUGUUUUUUUUUUAAAUGGAAUGUUUUUGGUAUUUGGUCAAACAUAUAACUAUGUUAACCUCUUCAAUUUCUUAAACAUUUUAAGUGGUAAGCUGUUGUUGAUUCAGAAAUACAUGCCGCCGCUCGCAAAAUUUUAAACUGCAUUAUCUCUAAAACGACAAUAGAUAUCUCAAAUCUGUUAAAUGGUAAAUGAUCUACAGUUAAAGGACAACUAGAAAAAGAAUUGGGACAAUUUGAAAGUUCACCAAGGUCACAAUUAAUCAUCAAAUAUAUGAUGCAAUACCAAACUUGAGAACCGGAAGUCGUAGAGACAUGGGAUUACCACCAUUCAAGUCAGGACCAAUUAACCUUUCAAAUA
rnacentral:lncRNA from 1 species